GGCUACUAAAAUGAGCAGGAAGCAGACUGCAGGAAAUGUUGUAACAUAUUCACGAGGGAAUUUUGGAGGAAACAGGAUUUCUGCAAAUGUGAAUGAAUCUACCAAAGAUAAUUCAAAGACCAAUAUAAUGGACAUAGAGAAGGUAGAGCAGCCAGAAAGUGAGGAAGCAAA
rnacentral:lncRNA from 1 species